AACUACAGCCAUGCCACCCUGAAUGAGCUCAGUCUUGUCUGAUCUUGGAAGCUAAGCAGUAUCGGGCCUGGUUAGUACUUGGAUGGGAGACCACCUAGGAAUACCAGGGGCUGUAGGCA
rnacentral:rRNA from 1 species